GACGUAGGAGGCGAGCGUUGUCCGGAUUCAUUGGGCGUAAAGAGCACGCAGGCGGUUUGGCAAGUCGGAUGUGAAAACCCGAAGCUCAACUUCGGGCCUGCAUCCGAAACUGCCCGACUAGAGGUAGGUAGGGGAGAUCGGAAUUCCUGGUGUAGCGGUGAAAUGCGCAGAUAUCAGGAGGAACACCGGUGGCGAAGGCGGGUC
rnacentral:rRNA from 1 species